rnacentral:lncRNA from 1 species
AACGAAAAGCUGACAAACGGGAUGUUCUUGCUCCGGUUCUAAACUUAGAAACAGGCAUUGGGGAUGCUUCCAGUUCCUCAGCUUUAGGACGAGAAGCUGGCAAACGGGAUCUUCUUACAUUCUCAGGUUUAAUCUGUGAAGAUGGCACAGGGGAUGCUUCUAAUUCCUCAGCUUUUGAACGAGAAGCUGGUAAACGGGAUUUUCUUACAUCCUCGGAUUUAACCUGUGAAGCUGGUUUAGGGGAUGCUUCAAAUUGCUCAGCUUUGGAAUAAGAAACUGGUAAAUGAGAUGCUCUUACUUCCUCAGAUUCAAACUGAGAAGCUGGCAUAGGAGAUGCUUCUAACUUCUCAACAUGAGAAGCUGGUAAAUGGGUUGUUUUAACUUCCUCAGAUUUAAACUUAGAAUCUGGCUUAUUGGAUGCUUCUAAUUCCUCAACUUCAUAUUGAGAAGCUGGCAAAGUACAUGCAUUUGCUUCCUCGAUUCCAGAAUGAGAUGGAGGCAAAGGGCGUGUUGCUUCCUCUGCUUUAAAACGAGAAGCUGUCGAAGGGGUUGUUUCUGGUUCCUCAUUUCUUUUUUUAAUAAAGGUUUCUGGUUCCUCAUCUUUACAACAGGAAGGUGCCAAAGGGGAUAUUUCUACUUCCUCAGUUUUAGACUGAGACACCACAUCUAUCUUAAGGAUAUCAUCCAUGUUCAACCCUUCUCUUUUUUCAAACCUCUCAACCAAACUGCGUGUCCUUCCUCGGACUACUGCCACU